GUUACAUGAUGAGGGCACUUUCUCAAUAAAUCUUUGUAUCUCUCCCAUGCAAGAUAUAAUGUAUUUAAAUCAAUCUGAAUAAAAGAAGAGAUGUCAUUCCUCAACUU
rfam:Gossypium arboreum cultivar AKA8401 contig_20188_5, whole genome shotgun sequence.